UUGGUGUUCUAUCUAUGCGUAUCUUCAUCUUAUUAGGUUGAUUGGUGAUUCAUUUGUUGACAUUGGUAAUUGCGACUCAAUGGGGGAAGUUCAGUUUACUAGUUUUCUUGUUUAAUUUAAUAUUCCUCCCAAUUCCUGUCAUUGUGAUCUGGAGUUGAAAAAGAUUUCUCCGUUGAUUGAUCAAUUGCUUUGUAUCCAUGGAAGAAUUUCUUAGGAUUGGUUUAUCGUUCAAAAUUUUCACUGACCUGUGAUUUUAAAAGUUGUGGAGGAAUGAUUCAGUCUAAAGAAAUAAACUUUCUUAACUUGGGAGGUCUAAAUUCAUGAGUUGUGAUUUGACUUGGAGCUUCUAAACACAGCAAUGAGUCAAUGACAAACUACACUUUUGCUCUCUUUUUUGUGCAUUUGCUCAUUGUUUGAGACUUCAUAACAUUAUGGUUCUUUUCUUCCUAAUAUUUCUCGAUUAAUGAAUCAUUCUGCUGUACUGUACAACCCACUAACACUUAAUGCAGGCAUUUCAAAAAUGAGAAUUUGUGAUUGUGAUCAAUAUUUGAAAUAGAGAUAGGACUUGAACCCUCUCUCUUAUUGCAGGACAGUCUCUUCACCUGCAGCA
rnacentral:misc_RNA from 1 species